rnacentral:rRNA from 1 species
GACGAACGCUGGCGGCGUGCCUAAUACAUGCAAGUAGAACGCACAGUUUAUACCGUAGCUUGCUACACCAUAAACUGUGAGUUGCGAACGGGUGAGUAACGCGUAGGUAACCUGCCUGGUAGCGGGUGAUAACUAUUGGAAACGAUAGCUAAUACCGCAUAAUAUUGAUUAUUGCAUGAUAAUUGAUUGAAAGAUGCUAUUGCAUCACUACCAGAUGGACCUGCGUUGUAUUAGCUAGUAGGUGAGGUAACGGCUCACCUAGGCGACGAUACAUAGCCGACCUGAGAGGGUGAUCGGCCACACUGGGACUGAGACACGGCCCAGACUCCUACGGGAGGCAGCAGUAGGGAAUCUUCGGAAAUGGACGAAAGUCUGACCGAGCAACGCCGCGUGAGUGAAGAAGGUUUUCGGAUCGUAAAGCUCUGUUGUAAGAGAAGAACGGGUGUGAGAGUGGAAAGUUCACACUGUGACGGUAUCUUACCAGAAAGGGACGGCUAACUACGUG